rnacentral:rRNA from 1 species
GACGAACGCUGGCGGCGUGCUUAACACAUGCAAGUCGAACGGAAAGGCCCUGCUUUUGUGGGGUGCUCGAGUGGCGAACGGGUGAGUAACCCGUGAGUAACCUGCCCUUGACUUUGGGAUAACUUCAGGAAACUGGGGCUAAUACCGGAUAGGAGCUCCUGCUGCAUGGUGGGGGUUGGACAGUUUCGGCGGUUGGGGAUGGACUGGCGGCUGAUCAGCUUGUUGGUGGGGUAGUGGCUUAGCAAGGCUUUGACGGGUAGACGGGCUGAGAGGGUCGCCGGACACAUUGGGUCUGGGCUGCGGCCCGGACCACUACGGGAGGCAGGGGAGGAGUAUAGUGUCUUGCGGGAGGAAGGAUGGUCUAACAAAGCCGCGUCCGGGAAGACGGGCAUCGCGUUGUAUUCCGAAUUCGUUUGUCACGAGGCGAUAGUGACGGUAAUGGGUAAAGAAGCACCGGCUAACUACGUG